rnacentral:misc_RNA from 1 species
GAGAAAGCAAAAGCUGAGAGAAUUAAGAGAAUUGAAUUGUGUACCUUGCCAGAUGUGGUGAGCCGUAUUUUUAGGGUUAGAAAUGACAUCUUGUUAUAUAGCGAUAUUCUCAACGGAAAUAUAAUACAUCCCAACAUGUACUCAACUUCUAAGAUAGUUCAUUUUAUCUGAAUAUCCUAACUUAUCCGAUCAUUCUAUGUUCUAACCAAAUACUUUACAUCUUAUCUGAACAUUUU